rnacentral:rRNA from 1 species
CCUACGGGAGGCAGCAGUGGGGAAUAUUUGGCAAUGGGCGCAAGCCUGCCCCAUCAACGCCGCGUGAAGGAAGAAGGCUUUCGGGUUGUAAACUUCUUUUCUGAGGGACGAAGAAAGUGACGGUACCUCCGGAAUAAGCCACGGCUAACUACGUGCCAGCAGCCGCGGUAAUACGUAGGUGGCAAGCGUUAUCCGGAUUUAUUGGGUGUAAAGGGCGUGUAGGUGGGAACGCAAGUCAGAUGUGAAAAGUCAGGGCUCAACCCUGAGACUGCAUUUGAAACUGUUUUUCUUGAGUGCUUGAGAGGCAAUCGGAAUUCCGUGUGUAGCGGUGAAAUGCGUAGAUAUACGGAGGAACACCAGUGGCGAAGGCGGAUUGCUGGACAGUAACUGACGCUGAGGCGCGAAAGCGUGGGGAGCAAACAGGAUUAGAUACCCCAGUAGUC